rfam:Triticum aestivum genome assembly, contig: Triticum_aestivum_CS42_TGACv1_scaffold_197544_3AL
GCUCAGUUGGUAAAGUACAAAGCUCUUAACCUUGUGGACGUGGGUUCAAGCCCCAU